rnacentral:rRNA from 1 species
UACAGAGGGUGCGAGCGUUAAUCGGAAUUACUGGGCGUAAAGCGCACGUAGGUGGCGACGUAAGUCGGGUGUGAAAGCCCCGGGCUCAACCUGGGAAUUGCAUUCGAGACUGCAUUGCUGGAGUACGGAAGAGGAGGGCGGAAUUCCCGGUGCAGCGGUGAAAUGCGUAGAUAUCGGGAGGAACAUCAGUGGCGAAGGCGGCCCUCUGGUCCAGUACUGACACUCAAGUGCGAAAGCGUGGGGAGCAAACAGG